GAUGAAAUAGUUAUGUUAGUUUAAAGGCACUUCAAAGUUUGUUUUGUUUUAUAUUUUCAGGGCACAAUGCCUAUGUUAUAUAGGUACCAAGCAGAAGUUGGAGAGGAAAAGGAAAGUACUUUCUGAAAAAGCAGCAAUGCUGGAAUGUGCUGUGGAGGCUCAGAUUGUUUUUCAGCUCUAGAGGCAUGUAUGUCCACAGCCUUCAGCCCUUCUGGUACCAUGUAGUUCUGCCAAGCCACAUUAGCUCAGCCUUACAUCUCGUGGCCCGUGCCUCCCCUGGGGGACAGAGCGACCUGUUCAGCUCCCAACACUGACAGAUGAAGAUUUCUAAUGGGAAAGAAUGAA
rnacentral:lncRNA from 1 species